CGUAGGGUGCGAGCGUUAAUCGGAAUUACUGGGCGUAAAGCGUGCGCAGGCGGUUUUGUAAGCCAGAUGUGAAAGCCCCGGGCUUAACCUAGGAAUGGCAUUUGGGACUGCAAGGCUUGAGUGCGGCAGAGGAGACUGGAAUUCCUGGUGUAGCAGUGAAAUGCGUAGAUAUCAGGAGGAAUACCGAUGGCGAAGGCAGGUCUCUGGGCUGACACUGACGCUCAUGCACGAAAGCGUGGGGAGCAAACAGGAUUAGAUACCCUGGUAGUCCACGCCCUAAACGAUGUCGACUGGUUGUUGGGGGUUUGACACUCUCAGUAACGAAGCUAACGCGUGAAGUCGACCGCCUGGGGAGUACGGCCGCAAGGCUA
rnacentral:rRNA from 1 species